CAUAAAUGGUGGGUCAGCCCAGGUGUUCUAGGGUAUCCCUAUAACCCCAAGGGGUGGAGACAGGAACAGCAUAAAUAUACAACUGGAUGGUAGAUGUGGGUCUGCUGUGCCAGAAGAUGAAGAUGAAACAGCUGUAAGCUACUGGAAGCUGGGACAGCCACGUGACCCACGGCCUCUGGACUGCCAUCAGUCUGCAUUAGCUGGUCACCAGAGCAUCUCCAGGAUGGAAACCAAACAGAGGCAUAUGAGCCUGUUCAUAAGACUUCUUUUAAAGAAAUGUUAUUUUAAUUAUAAUUGUGAAAAUGUCUUUGGCUUAUCUACAUGCUAUUAACAUAUGAGCAAGGUGAACCGUGCUUAUAGGAUGUGAGUGAUGAAAAGACAGCCUAUUCUUGGCCAAGCCUAGCUGAGUCUUUGUCUGGAGCUGAAGUCACAGGUGCUGACUGAGGACAAAAAGAACUUGCAAAUAAAAACCAUCACACGGUGAAGGUAAUCAGACCCAAAGUCUAUACACACCAGUGAACUGCUAUCUUGUUAGAGUUUACUUACAUCUUUGCUUUUGAGCCAGGACUUCACCUGCCUAGGCUGGACUUGAACUUGACAUCCUCUUGAUUCAGUAUCAGAGGGCGACCCAUUGGUAGAACUGGACAUGCUCAGCAGGGAAUGUUACUUUGGUGAAUGCAAACGUCUUCCUCCAGUGGGGCCAGGUGGACAAGGUGCACCCCGGUCCCUUAGGCCCGAGGUCCUUCCUUGAUUCUGAUAUCAGCCUGCAGAAAAGCAAGAAAGUGCUGUUCCUGAAGCUUCCUUUGGCUCCUGCUGCUGCAGCCCCUGUGCUCUUGUGAAGACGGUGACAGGGACUAGCGCAUCCCUAACACAGAGCACUUUACCAGAUGCUGCUGUGGUUGCCCUCUGAGGUUCCAGAUCUCACUUGUUGGCCUGAACUGGACCCUCCCUCCCUUCUUACCAACCCAACUUUGUUCUUCCUCUCUCUUCAAAAACAAAACAAAAACAAGCAAAAAACAACACACACACACCAAGAAAACCAGAAAUCAAAAUAGCAAGCAAGAGAGACCAAUAAGACAAAAAUGUCCAAAGCCAACAGGACUGAUGCACAGAUGGACCGACAGAGACUGAGCCAGUGUGUAAAGCCUGCACAGUGUUUGCAGAGACAUCAGCGUUUAUCCAGUCCCGAGUUAUGUGCCUUGGGUCCCAAGGGAGCUCACAUUAUGGUAGGAAAGCAAGCGGCACAAAUGUGGAAGACCCCUGCUUGGAUCCUGACUUGGCGCCCUUUGUGUUCUUUCAGGUAAGUCCAAUCUCUCUGAAGAACCGAGAACUGGCUCUAAGGCCCACAGUCGUAAUCAGGACUGCCUCCUUACAGCCGUUUCCUGCAACGAACUCCUUUGACAACCAAGUUUACCACUUUCUUCUACUAACAACCCGUCCAAAUGUAACCUUUCCCCACUGCAGCAUGUGAUUAGAUAUUCUCCCUAGGAAAGGUCACCUCAAUAUUCACUUUGAAGGACAGGGGUGUUCCUGGGCCCAGAGCGCCUCUGCAGCGGAUACAGGCAUCUUGCUCUGCUGGCGUGAAGAUCCAAGAGCUGAUGCUCCAGGCAGACACCACCAGGGCACAUCUCUACUUCCACAGAUUCUUCAUUCUGAUGUGACAUGGAGGAAGAAAAUGUCUUUCAUAUCAAAAGCCAGUGUUUUAUCUAAAUAGAAGGCGUGCGGAAUUUCUUCUUUUUCUUGGAGGGCGACUUUGAAGUGAUCUCGAUGUUCUCUAUGGUCGUGCUUGUGGUCAGCCUACUGACUCGCUGAGCAAGCUCGUCUUCGACAUCAUGCAUCUCGUCCUUGCCGUUCAUGAUCAUGACAGGCGCGUCCAUGGAGGGACACUCUGCGGUGACUGAGUUUGAGACUGAAUUUGUGAAACAGAUGCAGCGUCGUCUGAGAGUGACCCCUGCUCAGCGUCUGUUACUUACAGCAACUUCAGUAAGAAAAAAAAGAAGAAAACGAAAACGUGAAGUCUUUCUGUGGAGGGUGGAGCCCGAGACGCAGCGCUUCAGACUUACCGAAGGCGGCUUGUCCACAACGAUCCCCGCCAGCAGCUGAGACUGCGGCCCUGCUGUCUUCAGAUCAUAGCGAUUCUGUUCCCGGAUCUGGAUGCAAAGAACAAGUUCUUGGGGUGACCAUGAAGAUGGCCGCUGCGCUCGAUGCAAGCAGGAUGUGGAAACUGCUAUAGACAGACACACACAUGGCUGUGAUUGGCUGGCAUCUGGACUCUGUCUCCUGCAGUGAAUCUCACAGGGUAACAACAGCCAGCAAGUCAUGGAAACACUCACUCACUCGAGAAACGUCUUCAAGGUGCACACCUUUUGGUUUUGGUUGACAUUAGGACAAGGCUCGAAGCAUGCGGUCCUAAUGGAACUACAGGGUUUGAAGGACCUCUCACCCUACACUCUCACCCUUAGAGGAGGCUCAUGCAAGACCAUGGUUGCUGACCGGCAAGCUCUGAUUAUUGAAUAAAUUCUAGGAAGCUUAUCAAUUUA
rnacentral:lncRNA from 1 species